rnacentral:lncRNA from 1 species
ACGAAACAAAACGAAUCCAAAAUAUAAUGUUUAGUCCAAUUAUAUAGUCCAGAAUAGAAAAAAUGUGAAAAUGUAAAUCCUAUCCUAAACUAAUGUGCUCUACCUGAUGCCUCUGACCUUCAUCACGAUCAUUUGCCGCCAACAUGAUACGUCGGGACAUUCCCCAAUGAAUAAAUACAAUGAGCCUCGGAACAUUCCCCGACUAAAUGAAUACAUUUAAUGAAAAACGAUAAAGAUGAAGAAAAUCACUCAAAAAUAAAUAUUUAAAUGUUUGAUGAUUAGAAUCCUACGAGUUGCCUACCCCAAAGCCUAGAAUUUGCCUACUAAUUUCGACCUAAAACAUGAUACUAUCAUCGUUCAACAUCAACAAUGAAUCAAAAUACUACAAUAUUUCCUCUUAUUGAUUUUCAAUUCCCGCUCCCAACUUCAUUUUUAUCAAUCACACCGUCAAAAUUACUCAAAUUCGCUCCUCAUAUCGCCGAAAUCAUAACAUCAACAAAAUCAUACAUCAUAACGUCAACAAAAAUCCAACAAUCAUGAUCAUACCUAGCAUAAUCACAACCAAUUCAAAAAAAUCAAGAUAAAGAAAAGGGAAUGGGUUAAGGACAUGGACCUCAAUAAAACUUGUUUUCCUCGUUAAUAGAGAAAUCCGGGACCACAAUCCUUGAAUGAGAACCCCAAUGACGAGCAAACCAAAUCAGUGACCCAAAAUCAUCACCUAAACAGAUUUCAAACCAAGAAUAAAACCCAAAGCACCCUAAAAAUCCGAUAGAGAACUGAGACCGAUUGAAACCGAGCUCGAGUGAGCUGACAGCAGCCAAGACGGGACGAGUAAGGGUCGGAUUCAAGCAAAUUUUAGUGUUUCCCGUCCAAAUCUAUUCGAAAAUUGAAGGAAACCGACGAGAAUCGAGCAGACGACGACCUGUAAACUACUUCCGGCUAAAGGUUCGCCGGAAAAACUCAAGAACAAUGACAGAUCUCGCACCGACUUCGCGGUUUCUGGCCGAAAUCUCAAGCUCCCUCCAAUUUUUCCGACUUCAUCCUCACUAUGUGCGUGUGUGUGUGUUUCCGGUGAGAAGGAAGAAAAGGAUCGAUUUUCUGUGUGUGUGCGCUGUGAG